AGAGUUUGAUCAUGGCUCAGAAUGAACGCUGGCGGCGUGCCUAACACAUGCAAGUCGAGCGGUAAGGCCCCUUCGGGGGUACACGAGCGGCGAACGGGUGAGUAACGCGUGGGUAACCUACCCAGAAGUGGGGGAUAGCCUCGGGAAACCGGGGGUAAUACCGCAUGUGUCCUGUCGGGCUGCGGCCUGACAGGAGAAAGGCGGGGAUCUUCGGACCUGUCGCUUUCUGGAUGGGCCCGCGUCCGAUUAGCUAGUUGGUGGGGUAAUGGCCCACCAAGGCUCCGAUCGGUAGCCGGCCUGAGAGGGUGAACGGCCACAUUGGGACUGAGACACGGCCCAGACUCCUACGGGAGGCAGCAGUGGGGAAUUUUGGGCAAUGGGGGAAACCCUGACCCAGCGACGCCGCGUGGAGGAUGAAGGCCUUCGGGUUGUAAACUCCUGUCAGGUGGGAAGAAGACCCUGGCAGCUAACAUCUGUCAGGGGGUGACUGUACCACCAAAGGAAGCCCCGGCUAACUCCGUGCCAGCAGCCGCGGUAAUACGGAGGGGGCGAGCGUUAUUCGGAAUUACUGGGCGUAAAGCGCACGUAGGCGGCGAUGCAAGUCGAAGGUGAAAGCCCUCGGCUCAACCGAGGAACUGCCCUCGAAACUGCGUCGCUUGAGUCCGGGAGGGGGGAGCGGAAUUCCCAGUGUAGCGGUGAAAUGCGUAGAUACUGGGAGGAACACCGGUGGCGAAGGCGGCUCCCUGGACCGGUACUGACGCUGAGGUGCGAAAGCGUGGGUAGCAAACAGGAUUAGAUACCCUGGUAGUCCACG
rnacentral:rRNA from 1 species